rnacentral:rRNA from 1 species
AGCGAACGCUGGCGGCAGGCCUAACACAUGCAAGUCGAACGGAUCCUUCGGGAUUAGUGGCGGACGGGUGAGUAACACGUGGGAACGUGCCCUUUGGUUCGGAACAACUCAGGGAAACUUGAGCUAAUACCGGAUGUGCUCUUCGGGGGAAAGAUUUAUCGCCAUUGGAGCGGCCCGCGUCUGAUUAGCUAGUUGGUGAGGUAACGGCCCACCAAGGCGACGAUCAGUAGCUGGUUUGAGAGGAUGAUCUGCCACACUGGGACUGAGACACGGCCCAGACUCCUACGGGAGGCAGCAGUGGGGAAUCUUGCGCAAUGGGCGAAAGCCUGACGCAGCCAUGCCGCGUGAAUGAUGAAGGUCUUAGGAUUGUAAAAUUCUUUCAGCGGGGACGAUAAUGACGGUACCCGCAGAAGAAGCUCCGGCUAACUUCGUG